CGCAUCUGUGCAUGCAGCAUAUCAAUAAGCGGAGGAAAAGAAACUAACAAGGAUUCCCCUUAGUAACGGCGAGUGAAGCGGGAAGAGCUCAAAUUUGAAAUCCUAAAGGGUUUCCCCUUACGAAUUGUAGUUUAAAGAAGUGUUUUCUGUUGAGGUUUUGGUAAAAGUUCUUUGGAAUAGGACAUCAUAGAGGGUGAGAAUCCCGUAUUUGACCUUUACUUUCAACUUUGUGAUACACUUUCAAAGAGUCGGAUUGUUUGGGAAUGCAGUCCAAAAUGGGUGGUAAAUUUCAUCUAAAGCUAAAUAUUGGCGAGAGACCGAUAGCGAACAAGUACCGUGAGGGAAAGAUGAAAAGAACUUUGAAAAGAGAGUUAAACAGUACGUGAAAUUGUCAAAAGGGAAGCGUUUGACACCAGUGUUGUUUUUCUGAAAAUCAAUUAAAGAACUGUUUAUGCUAAGUUGUUUAGACUUUAUCAGCUAAUCUGCUUAGUUUUGAGCUUUUCUUUAAUGCACUUUUCAGUUAACAAGUCAACAUCAAUUUCUUUUGCUGUAAAAAAGCUUGAGGAAGGUGGCUUGAGAUUCGUCUUAAGUGUUUAUAGCCUCUUGCCUAUGCAGUCGGAGAGAUUGAGGUCUGCAGCGUAGAUCCUUCGGGGCUAAAUGCAUUUGUGCUAAGUUAUAGCAUUUUAUAGACAACUUGUUGACUAUGAUUUGUCUUGUAGCUUACUCGCUUAUGUUAUUUUACCUACGCUUAGGAUGUUGACUGAUAUGUAGUCGUA
rnacentral:rRNA from 1 species